AGGGAAUCUUGCGCAAUGGGCGAAAGCCUGACGCAGCCAUGCCGCGUGAAUGAUGAAGGUCUUAGGAUUGUAAAAUUCUUUCACCGGGGACGAUAAUGACGGUACCCGGAGAAGAAGCCCCGGCUAACUUCGUGCCAGCAGCCGCGGUAAUACGAAGGGGGCUAGCGUUGCUCGGAAUUACUGGGCGUAAAGGGAGCGUAGGCGGAUAGUUUAGUCAGAGGUGAAAGCCCAGGGCUCAACCUUGGAAUUGCCUUUGAUACUGGCUAUCUUGAGUAUGGAAGAGGUAUGUGGAACUCCGAGUGUAGAGGUGAAAUUCGUAGAUAUUCGGAAGAACACCAGUGGCGAAGGCGACAUACUGGUCCAUUACUGACGCUGAGGCUCGAAAGCGUGGGGAGCAAACAGG
rnacentral:rRNA from 1 species